UUUAGAUUAGUUUUGUGUACCAGGUGAUUAUAAGUUAUGGUCUUUAAAGUUAAAAAAUUUGGCGGUAUUUUAGUCCUUUCAGAGGAACCUGUUACGUGAUUGAUAGUCCACGAUUAAUUUUACUUUUUUCAUUAGUUUGUAUAUCGUCGUUAUUUGAAUAUCUUCUUAGGGGUUAAUAUUCAUGUUUCUGUUAAGGAAAUAAAUCAGAUCAAGAUGCAGCUUAUAUUAAAGUGUUAAUGGGUUACAAUAAUUAUAUUUAUAUGGAUUUAUGUUUGAAAAAUUUAAUUAAAGUGGAUUUGAAAGUAAUUUCUAUUAUUUUAUAGGGAUGAUUAGGCUCUAAAAUAUGU
rnacentral:rRNA from 1 species